rnacentral:rRNA from 1 species
AUUGAACGCUGGCGGUAUGCUUAACACAUGCAAGUCGAACGGCAGCAUGAUGUGUAGCAAUACACAUUGAUGGCGAGUGGCGGACGGGUGAGUAACGCGUAGGAAUCUGCCUUGAAGAGGGGGACAACCCGAGGAAACUCGGGCUAAUACCGCAUAAUAUCGAGAGAUUAAAGUUGGGUAGCAAUACCUGACACUUCAAGAGGAGCUUGCGUCCGAUUAGCUAGUUGGUAAGGUAAAGGCUUACCAAGGCGAUGAUCGGUAGCUGGUCUGAGAGGAUGACCAGCCACACUGGGACUGAGACACGGCCCAGACUCCUACGGGUGGCAG